rnacentral:lncRNA from 1 species
UCUCUGGAUCUGUUGAUUCAAAGCACUAGUUUUGCUUCAUGCCUUGACCAGAGUGGAAGCAACCAGCCCAUUCCCGAUCCAACUCCCAUGUACUCCCAAAGAACCAUCAAGAGGCACUUCAUAGAGUGACGCUCCUUUAAGAUCAAGCGGCUGUAAAGGACUUCAUUCACACACACAUUCACACUCUCUCUCUCUCUCUCAUACACAAAACGCCGAGAUGCGGUCUUUGCAGCCAGGCCCACAUGUUCUAGGUCUGGUGGAUCAAAGCGCGUGCACCUCCUGGAUGAACACCAAGGCCACCGGAAGUCCCGCCUUCCACCUCCGAGUUCCGUGGGUGGGCCAUCCCCUUCCCCCCACGUCAUGCCGCCCGCGCCCUCCCCCACUCCCUCUGGCCGGCCCCCCUCCACAGUACCCGGAUGUGGGAGGCCGCGGGCGGUGGCGGCCUCGCGCACAAUGAGCCCCAGCCGCGCUCGCAAAGGGGGAGAUUGCACAACAGACAAGCGAAACAGGCUGGGGGAGGGGAAUCUCUCAAGCGGCCAUGUGCUCAUUCGCUCCGCCACUCGGCGGCGUCUCCCCCGCCAUGGAACAAUCCGCAACCCGCCCGCCCCCGUCGAGAAAUGGCGUCGCCCUCCCAUACCUCAGGCCGCUCACCCCCGAAGGAAAGUGGACCUGCCCAUCCGCAGUUUGCCAAUUGCCCGGCUUGUGCGGCAAAAUGGACCCGCCCGCCAGGCGCCGGGUGGGUUCCCCGUGCCUCACGCGGCCGCUCCUCCGGGUUAGGCUCUUUCCUGGCCGUCAAGAAGGCCAGCGCCCUGAUCGGCCGGUUUCUUCUUCCCCGACCCACAUUCCAAGCGCGACGGAGGGACUCGCUGAAGACCGGGGCACCCCUGCUUGUCGCGAGUGGUACCGCCAGAACUCUCCGGAACCCUCGCUCGCACGCCCUGCCCGACACAGGGAGGCAGCCAGACCAGCCGGCUCCGGGCCGCGCAGCCGCCUCUUUCCCACGUUAUGUCGCGACCUCAUCUUGCCUUUCAGUAUCCGAGCUUCGCGUACGGCGUUCCCACAGGCCGAGGCCUCGUGACGAAGCUCGCGCCCUCCGCCCUAGCCAGGUCGUCCUUCCCCGUAACCACACUGGGGUCAGCGGCGGCCAUGGGAAUCUCCCCCACCCCCCCAACCCCGGACGGUUCCUCCCGGCUCGGUUCUCCCGCAACCUGGUAGGUUCGGUGCGAUGGGCCUCUCAACUUCCCCACGGCGGGCCCUUUGGAGGGAACUACGGGGUAAGUAGCCAUAACCUUUUGCAAAAGCCUUUCUUACCGAGAAUCCUGACUCGCAGACAUGAUCCUUAGAAUCUAGGGCGGAGUGCCCGCCUAUCGACAACUUAUAGAGCGUCCGACCCCGCCCCAGCCAUCGCAUUGGCUUGGCCACCUCUGCCCCGCCUGCCGGCGCUCUGCAACUCGACGUGACGUUACUUUGUAGGCGCUUUAGUUCGGACGCCCUAUUGGGUAGUUUGAAAGCCCAUCAUGGCCUAGCCCCGCCCUAUGGCCUCAUUGGCUGAAGGGUCCGCCUUUCUCGCUGGUGCGGAAGUGACAUACUUAAGUCGGGCCUCGCGGCGGGGCAGCCAUCUUGGAACCCAGCACCUUUACACGUGCGGAGGCGAUCGUGCCUUAGUCAUGUGGCUCAGCAGGUCCUAUCAAGCGACGGGGGUGAGGCCUUAGCCUCCAGGAACUUCCGGGCAGUCUGGACUGCCACUUUCCUUUACCUGGGUUUUCUUUACAGGACAAGUUUUAUUUAUUCUUCCGUUCAGGAAAAUAUUGUAGCGAUAUCUCAUUGGAUAGUAAGUUUCCCCGACUGGAGACAAAAAGGAUGGAACCCACUUUUGGGUUAAAGGGCAUAGGGGGAUAAGCUGUCAAGGAUUGUCCCACUCAAUCACUGGUUCAUUUAGUAUGUUUCCAGUUUCUCCUGGGCUUCCUUACAUGAAUAAGCGAGUCUUAAUUCAUAUUUACUGCCAUCUGCUCCCCGGGGAUGGCAUCUAUCGAAAGCUGGACUCUCAAGCCCUGAAAUGGGGAUCGCUAACAGUGUUAGCUGGAAGAAGACCUGAGAUAAAGCACAGCCACUAUUUUGAGGCCCCUUAAGGAAGACCACCACUUGCAUAUCUUCAAAGGAUCCUUUAUUGACCAGAGCAGGACCGUGGCAUUUUUAUAUAUAUUUAUAUAUAUAAAAAAAAGUUUGAAGAUCGGGCAGGCAGUAAUCCCUUUGCGCGUCCACCACCCCCACACUGUUUUCCUGCCCUCUGAACAUGGAAGGAGGAAUGGCUGCUCCACCUAGGCCACAAGGCAACAUUCUCCUAUAGAGGGAGAAAGAGGCUUGCUUUUAUGUGGCCAUUCCCUUCCCAUCAGAAAUCAAUAUACUCGCAGCAAAAAAAAACAAAAUACAGAAACCAAACAUUUAAAUAUGAAAAUCCAAAGGGAAUUGGGUAGAGAAACAAAAAGGAACUAGAGUUUCUUGGGAAGGGUCUCCCUUUCCCCUGCCCACUGAUGGGCUAAGGGUCUGGGGUAUGAGGCUCACACAGUGAGUUUGCAGUGACACAGUUCCUUGUAGAUCUGACGACGGAGUUUGGGCAUGUCCUGCUGGGUGAAGCUGAAUGGCUGAGACAGGGCCAGGUGCUUGCAGUACUGGGUGUUAACAAAGUAGACCAUGAGAACAGUUUACUGAGCACCCUCCCAAGUCAGGACCUGUGCUACACAUUUCACACAAAAUACAUCUUAAUUUCUCAGAAAAUAUCUGUUUCUCAUACACACUGCCAUUAUAGACUAAGCCUGGGGCUUCAACAAGCCUACAUAAUAUAUCUGGUGUUUAAACUGGAAAAUAUAUUUAGUUGGAUGUUGGGAAGCCUCUAUAUCAGGACCAAAGCCAGAGAUACAGUCCCAACUGAGGAUGGAGAAAACCAAUGAAACCAGGGUUUCUGUGCUAACACAUAAAAGUACACCCUGCUGUGCAAUCUGACUGAACCAAAUGAGGCAAGAGCUACCAACAACCCCUAAGCUACUGACUGAGAGCUAAGAAGACCUUAUCAUUUGCUUACCUGUAAUACAAAGGCACCACAGUCACUGUCAUUAUUCUGCCUGGCCACAUUCUAGGGAAUAGAAAGCAAGAAUCUGUUCACUUGGAGACUCCUAGAGGUUACGAAUUCAAUUGCUGCCUCCUAUCAAACUAUUCCAUUUUUCUCUGGAAACUCACCAUUUUGAAGUAACCUUUCCAGCCCUGAUGGAAGUCCAGUCGGUCUUUUUUGACUGCCUCUGCCUGUAGAUACUUGGCAAUAUGCUAUGUGGGCAAGAAAAAAGAAAGUGACACCUUAAUCACCUGCCAGUGUAACACAGAGUGUGCUGGUGGGAAACAUCACACCCACUCACUCCUCGGACUCCAAGCCCACGCUUCUUCCUGAAAUGGCUUGCUGCCACAUCUCCCUACAAUUUUACUACUUGUUUCCCCACAACCUCCUCAAACCUUAGGGCAGCGGCGAUUUAGAGUUCGCUGGGAGUCAAAAUAGGUGAUGGUACGUCGCCUUACAUCAACUGAGAUAAGGGACCAGUGCACCUCCAGAUGGAUGGGGAUUAGCAGUAAUUCCUUAUUGAAGAUGUCCACCUGGAAAGAGAGUGCUGGAAGUCAGCUACAACAUAAAACCCUAUUGAUUGCCAUGAGGAUUCUAAAAAAAAAAAUAUGGAACAAGCAAAGGAGUUACAAAAUAUACAUCAUGGACUGUGAGGCAAGGCUCAGCAUCAGAUGCUAUUACUUUUGGGAGGGUUUUUUUUCGGGGGUGGGGUGGGGGUGGGGACAUACUCUUCAGACAAUGUUGCCCUUUUGUUUAAGACUGGGUCCUUCCCUGACUUAGGACUCAGCAAAUAACGUUGGUGGGCUGGCCAGCAAGUCCAAGGAAUCUACUUACCUCCACUUCUGUAGCACUGAAAACAACUACCCCUGGCCUGGCUUUUUAGGUGGGGAUCAAACUCCAGUCCUUGUAUGCCCUCUAUAGGUUGAGAUAUCUUCCUAACCCAGAUAUGCUCCUGCUUCUCAGGCCUGGCUGAUAUUGAGAUAUUUGAUGGUGAAGAAAGACAGAAAUAAGAAGGUAAUAUCAGAACACAUGUGCCUUCUAAUUUAGCACCUGGGAGGUAGAACUACGAGUUCAAGGCCAGCCUCUACUACAUGCUCUGCUACCAGGUUGUUUCGAUGGUCUCCCACUCCCCACAAAGAGACACGAGAAUGCUCAUGGACAAGCUUUUCAAUGUCUCUUAGUGUCCUACAUAAAGAUCCCCCCAGUUGUCUUACAGGGCUUGACACUUUGUCUGCAGCUUCCUCAGCUGCAGCUCUAGCUCUUACUUCCUCAAAUCCACCACAUUCUCUCCUCUACCUAAGGUAGGUCUCAGCCCUCCCUCAGUGCUCACCUUGAGGGUGUAGAGAACUCCUGCUGGAAAAUGUCCUCCAACUUCUCUACAACUUCAUCAGUGCUGAGAGGGAUGAGGCUGCCAUAAGUUUGAAGGAAUUCAUCUAAGAUACCUAAUGGAGGUAGGAGAGAGUAAGCGGGGGCCUUUAGACUCUAUCGGAAAAGCUGGCCAGAAGGGGACUAAGUCUUCUGAAGACUCACUCUGCACACAGGUCACAUGUUCCUCCCGAAGGGGGCUAUGCUGGCCAGCUUUCUCCCCAGUCCGAUCUGCCUCUUCUGCAAUGCCCAAGUCAGAGCUCUGAAAAAGUUCCUGAGCCACGUGGUCUCCAAUGCUGCACACAUUACUGAUGAGUAUGCUGGCAUCAGGGGGUGCCAGGCUGCGCUCCCCUUCAGGACCAGACAGUCCCCCAAAACCAUUGGGUAGAGUACAUGAGAGGAGGCCUAUAAAGCACAGAAAUAGGAAUGAGAAACUGGCCGUGUAAAAGAACCAAUGCAUACAAAUGAUAAGACCACAGAACACAGACUGAAGCAGAGUCUAGCAAUGGAAACCUUAUGGAAUACAGACACCACCACCCUACACACACACACACACACACACACACACACACACACACACACACAUAUGUGCGCGCCUAAUGUAAGGACAGCCAGAGUUUAUUAAAAAAAAAAAAAAAAAGAAGAAGAAGAAGAAAAAGUAGUAGGUCAUCUUCAAAAAAGAGGAAGAAUGCAAAAGCCUAGGAUUUGGAGACCAGAAAUCUCUGCUGCCAAUAUCUGCUUACCACCUAACAGUGCACAGUGAGUGAGGAAGGCUCAGUAGUAGUAAGGUUGGUAAGUUUUUAGCUUGAGUUCUCAAAGAGGAAAUAUUCUAAAUAAAAAUGUUAAAAUCUACAAAUGAUAUAUUCCAUAAGAACCAUGAGUGUCCUAUGGAGAUCCACAUGUCUAGGCCUUUUUCCGGCAGGAAGAAAGCCUUAGAAUGGACAACAUGAUUUCCUAGAGCAUAGAUAGCUCUUUGUCAUCUGCACUGAAGACCAUAGGACAUCUACUUAUGUAGAUGUUCCCAACACUGUGUCCCAGGUAUCAGUCCUGCUAAAAAUCAGAGUCCCCAGCUCCCACAAGAUAGGAUCUUUCUUUGCAGCCCAGGUGGGGCCUUGAUUAAUUGUUCCAUCUUAGCCUCCAAAAUCAUAGGAUUAGUGUGUGCCUAGACGGGCCUUUAAAAUUAAGGCUUAAAUCGGGUGGUGG